GGACUACAAGGGUAUCUAAUCCUGUUUGAUCCCCACGCUUUCGUGCCUCAGCGUCAAUCAUCGUGUAGCAAGCUGCCUUCGCAAUUGGUGUUCUAUGUCAUAUCUAAGCAUUUCACCGCUACAUGACAUAUUCCGCCUGCCUCCACGACAUUCAAGACAGAUAGUAUCAACGGCAGUUUCCGAGUUAAGCUCGGAGAUUUCACCACUGACUUACCUGCCCACCUACGCACCCUUUAAACCCAGUGAAUCCGGAUAACGCUUGCACCCUCCGUAUUACCGCGGCUGCUGGCAC
rnacentral:rRNA from 2 species